rnacentral:rRNA from 1 species
AGUGAACGCUGGCGGCAGGCCUAACACAUGCAAGUCGAACGGCAGCACAGAGGAGCUUGCUCCUUGGGUGGCGAGUGGCGGACGGGUGAGGAAUGCGUCGGAAUCUGCCUAUUUGUGGGGGAUAACGUAGGGAAACUUACGCUAAUACCGCAUACGACCUACGGGUGAAAGUGGGGGACCGCAAGGCCUCACGCAGAUAGAUGAGCCGACGUCGGAUUAGCUAGUUGGCGGGGUAAAGGCCCACCAAGGCGACGACCCGUAGCUGGUCUGAGAGAAUGAUCAGCCACACUGGAACUGAGACACGGUACAGACUCCUACGGAAGGCAGCAGUGGGGAAUAUUGGACAAUGGGCGCAAGCCUGAUCCAGCCAUGCCGCGUGAGUGAAGAAGGCCUUCGGGUUGUAAAGCUCUUUUGUCCGGAAAGAAAAGCCCUGGAUUAAUACUUUGGGGUUAUGACGGUACCGGAAGAAUAAGCACCGGCUAACUUCGUGCCAGCAGCCGCAGUAAAAC